UUAUCUUAACCAUUCGUUGGAAUAGAUUGUCUCUUAUGCCUCAAUUUUCUUACUAUCUUCUUGUUGUUAUUGCUUAUGUCUCCAUGAAUGUUGUCGUUUUGCUUUCCUUGAGCCAAGGGUCUAUAUGAAAGGCAUAGGUAAGGUCUAUGGUAGCAUUAUUUGUAGGCUCAAAUUUAUAUCUAUGUUCUACUGUUAUAUGAAAAUAACUUGUAAACA
rnacentral:lncRNA from 1 species